CAGGAUGCCCAGUUAAAUUUGAAUUUCAAAUAAACAAGUACUUUUUAAGAUAAGUAUAUCUCAUACAAUAUUUGGGGCAUACUUAUACUAAAAAGUACCCACUGUUUAUUUGAAAUUCAAUUUAACUGGGCAUCCUGUA
rnacentral:miRNA from 1 species